UACGUAGGGUGCGAGCGUUGUCCGGAAUUAUUGGGCGUAAAGAGCUCGUAGGCGGUGUGUCACGUCGGCCGUGAAAACCUGCAGCUUAACUGUGGGCGUGCGGUCGAUACGGGCAUCACUGGAGUUCGGCAGGGGAGACUGGAAUUCCUGGUGUAGCGGUGAAAUGCGCAGAUAUCAGGAGGAACACCGGUGGCGAAGGCGGCACUCUGGGCCGAUACUGACACUGAGGAGCGAAAGCGUGGGGAGCGAACAGG
rnacentral:rRNA from 1 species